rnacentral:rRNA from 1 species
CCCGCUGAACUUAAGCAUAUCAAUAAGCGGAGGAAAAGAAACUAACAAGGAUUCCCCUAGUAACUGCGAGUGAAGCGGGAAAAGCUCAAAUUUAAAAUCUGGUGGUCUUUGGCCAUCCGAGUUGUAAUUUAGAGAAGCGUCUUCCGCGCUGGACCAUGCACAAGUCUCCUGGAAUGGAGCGUCAUAGAGGGUGAGAAUCCCGUCUUUGGCAUGGACCCCAGGGCUUCUGUGAUGCGCUCUCAACGAGUCGAGUUGUUUGGGAAUGCAGCUCUAAAUGGGUGGUAAAUUCCAUCUAAAGCUAAAUACUGGCAAGAGACCGAUAGCGCACAAGUAGAGUGAUCGAAAGAUGAAAAGAUCUCUGAACAGAGAGUUAAAUAGUACGUGAAAUUGUUGAAAGGGAAGCACUUGCUACCAGACACACUUGCAAUUAAUCAACCUCCAUUUUUGGUGGUGCACUUGGUUGUAGGUGGGUCAGCAUCAGUUAUAGCGGUAGGAAAAAGACUGUGGGAAUGUGGCUUCUCCUGGGAAGUGUUAUAGCCCAAAGUGUAAUGCUGCCUGCUGUGACUGAGGACCGCGCUUCGGUGAGGAUGCUGGCAUAAUGGUUGUAAGUGACCCGUCUUGAAACACGG